ACUUGAUGGUGUGGGCAUUGAUAUAGCAAGUCCCCAAAGCACUCCCAAGGCUCGAAAAAUAGUUCACUACCCAUCUGUGAGAAACUGGUGAUGGCUCUCCUAAGCU